UGCUGUUCAAUCCUUCAGCGUCACAUCCUUUAUGUAUUGAUUCAAGUGGGUUUUUCUCUAUACUUCCUUUUUGUUAAUUUUGUAUUGCAAAGUUUGCUGCUUUACAUUCGAAUCCUCUUCCCAGCGGUUUAGAUUAGUUCAAAGAAAAAUAUCGCUCGUAUUAAAAUGGUUAGUUGAUUGCAGGGGCACCUUCUACUCUGAGUGAUCCACUCAAGUUUUGUCCUUACAAUGAAACUGCUUGCUGCAACUUCACUGAAGAUUCAAUAAUCCAGAAGCAAUUCCAAACCAUGAACAUCUCCAAUUCUGACUGUGCUUCCCUUUUGAAAUCAGUACUUUGUGCAAGGUGUGAUCUGUUUUCGGGUGAGCUUUUCACCGUUGAUUCUGUGCCUCGCUCUGUUCCGGUUCUCUGCAACUCAACUGUUUCAUCAAAUUCAUCCCAGUCUAAAGAAGGAGUGAAGCAUUUCUUUCUGCGGAUGACCUUAGAAUAAACUUGUGGAAUCUUGAGAUCACUGACCAGUGUUUCAAUAUCCUUGAUAUGAAGCCACCAAACAUGGAGGACCUUACUGGUAGUCUACCCUUUGUCUUUACAUCUUAUAAUUUCUAUGAACGCCCAUACUGUAUAUUCAGUUGAACAUGCUUAAUAUCAUCCAAACAUUUCAUA